GAUCUUUUGGUCUAAUGGUUAUGACAUUGAUUCUUCAUAUCAAUAAUAUCGGUUCGAUUCCGGUAAAGGUUA
rfam:Pichia kudriavzevii strain SD108 scaffold00057, whole genome shotgun sequence.